rnacentral:rRNA from 1 species
UACGUAGGUGGCAAGCGUUGUCCGGAAUUAUUGGGCGUAAAGCGCGCGCAGGCGGCUUCUUAAGUCUGAUGUGAAAUCUCGGGCUCAACCCCGAGCGGCCAUUGGAAACUGGGAAGCUUGAGUACAGAAGAGGAGAGUGGAAUUCCACGUGUAGCGGUGAAAUGCGUAGAUAUGUGGAGGAACACCAGUGGCGAAGGCGACUCUCUGGUCUGUAACUGACGCUGAGGCGCGAAAGCGUGGGGAGCAAACAGG